rnacentral:tRNA from 1 species
GCUAUUGUAGUUUAUAAACUAAAACAUUAUAUUUUCAAUAUAAAGAUAAAAGAAAAAUUUUUGACAGCU